UCAAUUAAAGAGAAUAUACUAAGUCUGACAGCAGCUAAUAAUGGUGGUACAACUGAUGCACCAGGAAAUACAAAUAUAGGACCAGUUCAAGAUACUGUGUGGACUAAUAUGGUUAAUCCUGUUAAUAUUCACUUUAGAUUUACUGCAGAUUACCAACAAGCUGUGCCUUCUCGACAGGAGUAUGUCAAGGAUUUUAAAGUUGGCAUUAUUAGUGCGAGUUUACGUCUGGAAAGGGAUGUCAAUAAUAUUAUUUCUCAUCGUUGUGGUGGAACACAGAGUCGAAGUAAUCCUAACCGGGGUGUGUUUACCUGUGAACAGACAUUAACAGAUUUAUCUCAGUUAUCUCUACCAUUUAAUCACAAGGAUGUACUCUCGUUUUCGAUGUCAGUUGCCAAUGGUGGAUUUGUUAAGAUCGAAAAUAAAGAAACAAACUUGGUGGAAACUGUAUACCUACAAGGAUUGACUCAAACCAAUACAUUUUCUAUAACAUUUGACACUGUAGAUCCAUAUCAUUGUACACCCCAGUCAGGAUGUUCUCUAGAUAUGCUCUCUGAUGUAGACUUAUCUAAACAGCGUACUAAACGUUUUUCAUGGGACGGCUGGGUGGAUGUAGAUGCUGGGAUUAAAGAAUACGAGUAUGAACUUUUUGAACUUCAUCGUGUUGGUAAUGAACUUGGUGUCAAGGCG